AUUGAACGCUGGCGGCAGGCCUAACACAUGCAAGUCGAGCGAGAGGCGGACGGGCGAGUAAUGUAUGGGGACUGCCCGAUAGAGGGGGAUAACUAAUGGAAACGGUGGCAAAUACCGCAUACCAUCGGAUAACCCAUAUGGGAUUAGCUAGAAGGGGGGGUAAAGGCUCACCUAGGCGACGAUCUCUAGCUGGUCUGAGAGGAUGAUCAGCCACACUGUGACUGAGACUCGUCCCAGACUCCUCCGGAGGCAGCAGUGGGGAAUAUUGCACAAGGGGCGCAAGCCUGACGCAGCCCUGCCGCGUGUAUGAAGAAGUCCUUAGGGUUGUAAAUUUCUUUCAGCGGGGAGGCGUUACCCGCAUAAGAAUCACCGGCUAACUCCGUGCCAGCAGCCGCUGUAAUAC
rnacentral:rRNA from 1 species